GUCAAGGGUAGGAAGGGAGAAGUUGCAAGCGCAGACAGUAGCCUCUAGCUCUACAGGGAAGUUCUGGGUCUGUCACUAAGCCAGGUGAGAGGCACACACUAGACAGCUAGACAGUCUCCAACCACUGGCAUGGAUCACAGGGCGCCGGAGCGGUUGGCAUGGACGAAAUCCGAGGGGCACAGUGCAUGUCCGCAGGCCCCAGGAGGGGGCGAAAGGAGGUGGUAGCUGGGCAGAGAAGCCUGGAGCGCCACCCUUGUCUCCGGACGUCCCGGCUCCGGCCGCGAGGAGGUGACAUGGCUACAACGCCCAGGCCGCGGGGACCCCGCCGCCACCCCUUCCCAGCGUGGAAGAAAGAAAAAAAGAAAGAUUUGGGUUUGAAUGCUAGCUCCUUCAUGCACAGCUGUUGCAGGGGCCGUCAGAACAUCUACCCGUCAACUCUGUCCAUCUUGAAAAACCACAAAACAACAACAACAACAACAACAACAACAACAACAACAACAACAACAACAACAACAAAAACCCCCUCAAACUGUUGGUCUUAGAACUAAAAAACUGCAAUGUAGACGGAAGCUCAGUAAGAGAUUGGUGGUGUUCUCUAUUGGACUUUGUGUGCUAUUUUGAUGCCUCUUUGCCACUGCCUUCCCUGAGCUGAAUUGCUCAUUUUUGUCUUUGCCACAAACAUUUCUAUAGUCAGUUUUGCCCUGAAUGUCACACGGUGACAUGUGUAAGCCUUCUCCUUUCAGCUAUUUCUUGAAAACCAUUUCAAUCCAUUGGACAAGCUGCUAUAGACUGUUCAGAAUACUUUGAACUGGAGAUGUCAAUCGCUUUUGCUAGAGAGGCAGUUACAGUUCAGCAGAGAAUGUUACAGGGCUCUGUGGUGGCCCCAACGGGAAAACUGUUUUUCUUUGGUCCAAAGAGUAGAAUCUACCUUUAGCCUGGAUAGAGACCAGACAAUCCUGAGUCAUAAUUCAGUUGUGACAAGCCAAUUACUUGACUAGGGGAUCACCCCUCCAGCAUGCAGGUUCACUUAUACCGUGGUAAAAGACACAGGAGUUGGCGAAGCUAUCCCUUUAAUGAGAUAAUGUACUUUUUCAGAAACCCGAUUCUGUUCAGUAAAGGCAGAGACAGUGCUAGGAUGGAAAGGUCUGUCUGCCCUUCUGAGUCCUGGCUCUGGUAUAGUUUUUUCCCUUCCUCCCUUCCUCCUCCUCCUCUCCUCCUUUUUCUUUUCUUUUCUUUCUUUUUUUUUAAAAAAUAUUUUUCUUAGGACAUUGGCCAGAGUCAAAAUACUCUUUUUCUGUUACUUUGUGUCUUUCCAUCAUUUUCUGAAGUACCUCCCUCCCCCAUACUAUGUGACAGCUCACAAAUGUCAGGUUUCUUUUCUUCCUCUUGUCUAUCUUUCUUCUCUAGGCGGGGGUGGAAAUGUACAGUUUGCCUACUCGGGUAUUUUUUUUUUUGUCUAAUAAAAUUGUCUUUGAGGUUUCUUCUUA